CCUACGGGUGGCAGCAGUGGGGGAUAUUGCACAAUGGGGGAAACCCUGAUGCAGCGACGCCGCGUGUGGGAAGACGGUCCUCUGGAUUGUAAACCACUGUCACCAGGGACGAAGAUGACGGUACCUGGGGAGGAAGCUCUGGCUAACUACGUGCCAGCAGCCGCGGUAAUACGCGGGGAGCAAGCGUUUUCCGGAUUUACUGGGUGUAUACGGAGCGUAGGGGGGAUGGCAAGGUGGGUGUUAAUUCUACCGGCUCAACUGGUAGUCGCCCUCCAAACUGCUAUUAUUGAGUGAAGUAGAGGCAGGCGGAAUUCCUAGUGUAGCGGUGAAAUGCGUAGAUAUUAGGAGGAACACCAGUGGCGAAGGCGGCUUACUGGACUGUAACUGACGUUGAGGCUCGAAAGCGUGGGGAGCAAACAGGAUUAGAUACCCCAGUAGUC
rnacentral:rRNA from 1 species